AGUGUAGCAAUAUGCUCAAAAGUGGCGAACGGGUGAGUAACACGUAGGUAACCUGCCGCGCAGAGGGGGAUAACGACUGGAAACGGUCGCUAACACCGCAUGGUACUAACUUGACGGGAGUCUGGUUGGUUAAAACCUUGGUGCUGCGCGAGGGGCCUGCGUCCGAUUAGUUAGUUGGUGAGGUAACGGCUCACCAAGACGAUGAUCGGUAGCUGGUCUGAGAGGAUGAUCAGUCACACGGGAACUGAGACACGGUCCCGACUCCUACGGGGGGCAGCAGUGAGGAAUAUUGCACAAUGGACGCAAGUCUGAUGCAGCAACGCCGCGUGGAGGAUGAAGGUCUUUGGAUCGUAAACUCCUUUUCUCAGGGAAGAGAAUGGACGGUACCUGAGGAAUAAGUCACGGCUAACUACGUGCCAGCAGCCGCGGUAAUACGUAGGUGGCAAGCGUUAUCCGGAAUUACUGGGCGUAAAGCGCACGCAGGCGGUCUUUUAAGUUUGACGUGAAAGCUCCCGGCUUAACUGGGAGAGGUCGUUGAAGACUGGAAGACUUGAGGCAAUGAGAGGGGUGUAGAAUUCCCGGUGUAGUGGUGGAAUGCGUAGAUAUCGGGGGGAAUACCAGUGGCGAAAGCGGCACCCUAGCGUUAGCCUGACGCUCAUGUGCGAAAGCGUGGGGAGCGAACGGGAUUAGAUACCCCGGUAGUCCACGCUGUAAACGAUGAACACUAGGUGUAGGUGAUGUGAAAGUUAUCUGUACCGAAGCCAACGCGUUAAGUGUUCCGCCUGGGGAGUACGGCCGCAAGGCUAAAACUC
rnacentral:rRNA from 1 species